rnacentral:rRNA from 1 species
AGAGACGAGUCAGAGUUUGAUCCUGGCUCAGGACGAACGCUGGCGGCGUGCCUAACACAUGCAAGUCGAGCGGGGACUGAGGUGCUUGCACCUUGGUUCUAGCGGCGGACGGGUGAGUAACGCGUGAGCAACCUGCCUCAAACUGGGGGAUAACGCAUCGAAAGAUGUGCUAAUACCGCGUAAGACCACGCUACCACAUGGUAGAGGGGUCAAAGGAGCAAUCCGGUUUGAGAUGGGCUCGCGUCCGAUUAGCUAGUUGGCGGGAUAACAGCCCACCAAGGCGACGAUCGGUAGCCGACCUGAGAGGGUGAUCGGCCACAUUGGAACUGAGAUACGGUCCAG